rnacentral:rRNA from 1 species
UGAGUACGAGCUGCUACGGCAGCGAAGUGGGUGAUGUCAAGCUUCCAAGAAAAGCCCUAUACCCGUUAAGGCAUGACGGCCUGUACCCGAAACCGACACAGGUGGGGUGGUAGAGAAUACCGAGGGGCGCGAGAUAACUCUCUCUAAGGAACUCGGCAAAAUGGCCCCGUAACUUCGGGAGAAGGGGUGCCACCGCAAGGUGGUCGCAGUGAAGAGGCCCAGGCGACUGUUUACCAAAAACACAGGUCUCCGCUAAGUCGCAAGACGAUGUAUGGGGGCUGACGCCUGCCCAGUGCCGGAAGGUUAAGGAAGCUGGUCAGCGCAAGCGAAGCUAGCGACUGAAGCCCCGGUGAACGGCGGCCGUAACUAUAACGGUCCUAAGGUAGCGAAAUUCCUUGUCGGGUAAGUUCCGACCCGCACGAAAGGCGUAACGAUCUGGGCGCUGUCUCGGAGAGAGGCUCGGCGAAAUAGAAUUGUCUGUGGAGAUGCGGACUACGUGCACCCGGACAGAAAGACCCUAUGAAGCUUUACUGUAGCUUGGUAUUGUGCCCGGGCUCUGAAUGCGCAGGAUAGGUGGGAGGCUUUGAUCCAUUGCUUGUGGGUAAUGGUGAGCCACUGGUGAGAUACCACUCUUUCAGAGCUAGGGUUCUAACGGUCACCCGUUAUCCGGGGAUCGGACAGUAUCAGGUGGGCAGUUUGACUGGGGCGGUCGCCUCCUAAAAGGUAACGGAGGCUCGCAAAGGUUCCCUCAGGCUGGUUGGAAAUCAGCCGACGAGUGUAAAGGCAGAAGGGAGCUUGACUGUGAGACCUACAAGUCGAACAGGGACGAAAGUCGGCCUUAGUGAUCCGACGGUUCUGAGCGGAAGGGCCGUCGCUCAACGGAUAAAAGUUACUCUAGGAUAACAGGCUGAUCUCCCCCAAGAGUUCACAUCGACGGGGAGGUUUGGCACCUCGGUGUCGGCUCAUCGCAACCUGGGGCUGAAGUCGGUCCCAAGGGUUGGGCUGUUCGCCCAUUAAAGCGGUACGCGAGCUGGGCUCAGAACGUCGUGAGACAGUUCGGUCAUAUCCGGUGCACGCGCAGGAACAUUGAGAGGAUUUCUCCCUAGCACGAGAGGACCGGGAGGAACGCACCUCUGGUGUACCAGUUAUCGUGCCAACGGUAAACGCUGGGUUGCCAUGUGCGGAGCGGAUAACCGCUGAAAGCAUCUAAGUGGGAAGCCCACCUCAAGAUGAGUGUUCCCAUGGCAUAAGCCAGUAAGGUCACGGGAAGAACACCCGUUGAUAGGCUCUACGUGGAAGCGUGGCAACACGUGAAGCGGAGGAGUACUAAUAGACCGAGGGCUUGAC